CACGAACGAAUACUUAUAAACCCUAGCUCACGAACGAAUACUUUAUGGAGUUUUUGCUUCCAAAUUCUUAGAACUAGAGAAGAUAGGAGACGAAGAUGAGUUUCUGCUUUCGCUUGAAUGAAGGUGAUUUUGAUGGGGCAUGACUUUGGUGGAGCAUGUAUAUCAUUCACUGUGGAGUUAUUUCCCUCCACGAUUUCCAAGGCUGUAUAUGUUGCUGCAGCAAUGUUGGCAAAUGGGCAAAGCAGAUUCGGACAAUCUUAUGCUCCAGGCUCAGAUAUUUUUGUACAGAAAUGGGAACAAUCAACAACCAACUGCUAUUGAUUUAGACAAGUCAGUGUUGAAGGAUUUAUUAUUCAACCAGAGCCCUGUUAAGAAAAACUAGGCAGCUACAGGUAGGACAAUUCGAUGUCCGUCUCUGUCUAGGUCUGAGUGUCAAUCUGAAUGGGGGAAGUUGAUAUCUGUCGUUCCAGACAAUCUGAAGCUAGCGGUGGCAGUUAGCAGUCCUAAUGAUCUUCCUUCCACUUCUUCAAUUCUCAAAUUCUUUAGUCAAUUGCUCCAACUCCACCAAGGACUUGUCAGAUCCUUAGAAUGCUCUCUGCGAAGAAUAAAGAUGCUGCUUUGGCAUCAAAGCAAAUGGGGCAACCAUUGCCAUCUCUGUGGAAAUUACACCAAAGCUCUGAAUUGUUACUCCCAUUUAUUGUGAACUCAAGGAUACUAUUCUUGCACCUUGCUCCAAUAGAUGUUGAUGACAUGGGUACAAAUCUGGUUGAAACUUUGUACAUGAAUCAGGCUUCUUUGUUUCAGAAAAUAGGUCUUUUCCAGGAAUGUCUAUGAGAUUGUAAUUGGCCUCUUCUAAUUUCUCCAAGGUAUGCAAAGGUAAAUAUGGAAUAUGAUGUUACUUAAUUUGGAUUUGCUUGCUAGCACACCUAGGAAUGUGUGAUUUGUAUUUGAUAUUCAUUCGUUGAUAUUUUAAUUCAUUGGACAAUGGAGUUUUCAGAAACUCUAUCGAGGUUAUUUCUGCAUAUUACUUAACCCAUGAAGCCUAAAACUAACUAUGAGUGUAGCUGACUAGCUGUUAAGGCUAAUGUUUCUUUGGGGAACUCCAAAGAUGCCGUCAAAGACUUGAACAUUGCUAGAGAUGCAGAGAUCUCAUCGGAGGGAAAAGACAGAAAGCGAACUGAAAGAUUUGUUCACAAAUGCUCCAAAAAGGAGCAAUAAAACAGUUGCACACAAUGACCACUUGAUAUUUUUGGUAAGAUAGUUAUUUAGCAUUUAGUUCUUUACGGAAAAAAAAUGAUCCGUUUUUUGUUGCAUUUGUGGGUUUGUGAUGUGAACUUUCUCUGUAUCUGUGUUUUUUUAAUCAAGAUAUUUAGAUGCUGCUUAGUCAAUUUGCUAGUAUUUCCUCUUUAGGUUACUUUUUGCUUGUCAUCUCAUAUAAUGAUGGACAAUCAUAUAGUUCUCAUUUGCUUUAUCGAAGAGUUGGAAAUCUUUUCUGCUUCAAAACCCCCAGAACAAUUGUUCUUUCUCUGUACACUUGAGUGCUCUAUGUUCUUGUUUUCAAAUUGCAAAUUGCAUUUUGGGGAUGAUCCAACUUUACCACUUCUCUUAUAAAGGUCAAAUUGCUUCAUAAGAAUGCCUUAAACUAGAUUUUCUGGUCUUUCUGUGGUCAAGCUAUGCUAAAUGGUCUAAAGAGUAACCUCUGACAUUUUUACUGCACUGUUGCAACUUCCUAUGGUGUUGCUUAGGUAGGGGGUAAGGUGCUUAGAACUUCCUCAAUAUAGUAAUGUACUAGGAAAGACUAUUAGGAUUUUUGUGGGAAAUGUCAAACUUCUGACUCUUUGGUAUAACACUUAGAUUUUUGUAUUUAUCUGCUAGCUUCCAGUGGACAAGGAUGAAUCAGAAACAUCUCUCUGAUAUAAUUAUUCUUACAUGAAAAUUUUGGGACCACAUUUGUUUGCUUAUUAAACAUGGGGAUUUCAUUGGCAGAGCCAACAUAUGAAGCACCUGUGUAAUAUGUCAAUUCUUUGGGUGUAUUCUUGUGCACCUUUAACUGCUUGGCAGACUCUACAAUAUCCGUGGUUUAUGAUCAAGUAACUUAAUAACAAUUUGUCUCUCUUUGUUGCUUAUUCUUGCUUCACGUAUUAACUUAUAUCUUCAGUUAUUCAGUCACUUGCAGUCUUUUUGAUAUAUAUAUGUACAUGGUUUGCGUAAGGUUUCGGGGUAAGAUGUGUCAUACUUUUACAGAGGUCUCUUAUUCUUUGUUCAUAUACAUAUAUGACAUUCUGUAGGAGCUAUGCUCUAAGGUGCACAAUAAAUUUCAGACAAUAUUACUGUCUCCGUAUUUCUUGCAGAUGGGGAAUAUGAUUUACGUUAGGCUUUGUAAAUUUCAGAUAACAUCCGAGGAUUAUCGAGAAACUCAUUGCCAUUACACAAUAUGCAUGCUACUUGGGUCUUUCUAGAUAUCUUAGAACUUGAGGCACUGUGCAAUCAGCUAGGGUUCACUUAUGUUGUUCUGUUUAAAUGAUAAAGUUAUCCUUUCAUUGGAAAAUGAGGUAUAGAUUAAUUUUGAUACCCGCCGAACAUAGGUGAU